rnacentral:rRNA from 1 species
CCUACGGGAGGCAGCAGUGAGGAAUAUUGGUCAAUGGACGCAAGUCUGAACCAGCCAUGCCGCGUGCAGGAAGACGGCUCUAUGAGUUGUAAACUGCUUUUGUACGAGGGUAAACGCAGAUACGCGUAUCUGUCUGAAAGUAUCGUACGAAUAAGGAUCGGCUAACUCCGUGCCAGCAGCCGCGGUAAUACGGAGGAUUCAAGCGUUAUCCGGAUUUAUUGGGUUUAAAGGGUGCGUAGGCGGUCGGAUAAGUUAGAGGUGAAAUCCCGAGGCUCAACUUCGGAAUUGCCUCUGAUACUGUCCGGCUAGAGAGUAGUAGCGGUAGGCGGAAUUGAUGGUGUAGCGGUGAAAUGCUUAGAGAUCAUACAGAACACCGAUUGCGAAGGCAGCUUACCAAGCUACUUCUGACGUUGAGGCACGAAAGCGUGGGGAGCAAACAGGAUUAGAUACCCCAGUAGUC